AAUGAACGCUGGCGGCGUGCCUAACACAUGCAAGUUGAGCGGUAAGGCCCCUUCGGGGGUACACGAGCAGCGAACGGGUGAGUAUCGCGUGGGUAAUCUACCUCGAGGUGGGGGAUAGCCCCGGGAAACCGGGGGUAAUACCGCAUGAGUCCUCGAUGACAUAAGUCUUCGAGGGGAAAGCGGGGCUCCUUCGGGACCUGUCGCCUCGGGAUGAGCCCGCGUCCGAUUAGCUUGUUGGUGGGGUAAUGGCCCACCAAGGCAACGAUCGGUAGCCGGCCUGAGAGGGUGAACGGCCACAUUGGGACUGAGACACGGCCCAGACUCCUACGGGAGGCAGCAGUGGGGAAUUUUGGGCAAUGGGGGAAACCCUGACCCAGCGACGCCGCGUGGAGGAUGACGGCCUUCGGGUUGUAAACUUCUGUCAGGAGGGAGGAAAUCUGGCGAGGCUAUCUUCGUCAGUUGACCUAUCUCCAGAGGAAGCACGGGCUAAGUUCGUG
rnacentral:rRNA from 1 species